GAUGAAGAACGUAGCGAAAUGCGAUAAGUAAUGUGAAUUGCAGAAUUCAGUGAAUCAUCGAAUCUUUGAACGCACACUGCGCCCUCUGGUAUUCCGGGGGGCAUGCCUGUUCGAGCGUCAUUAUAACCACUCAAGCUCUCGCUUGGUAUUGGGGUUCGCGGUUUCGCGGCCCCUAAAAUCAGUGGCGGUGCCUGUCGGCUCUACGCGUAGUAAUACUUCUCGCGAUUGAGUUCGAUAGGUCUACUUGCCAGUAACCCCCAAUUUUUACAGGUUGACCUCGGAUCAGGUAGGGAUACCCGCUGAACUUAAGCAUAUCAAUAAGCGGAGGA
rnacentral:misc_RNA from 1 species